UAUUUUAUCUCUUUAUGUUUUUAUGUUUUUUCCUAAUCAUAUAAUUUUUAUGUUUUUUUAUUAUUUCUUAUACAUCUAAUAUGUUGAAGAUUUGAUUUAUGUUUUUUACUAUGCUUAUAUUACGUAGAUGGCAUCUGGGGGUAGCGAUCAUCGACGACGUAAGGGUAAGGGAACUCAAUUAAAAUCUCCAACUACAGGUCACUCUCCUCCUCCACUUAUGGGGCCUCCUUCUACUUUUCCUCCUCAGUCGACUUCGUUCCCAUCUAUAUUUUUAUGCCCCUACCUGUUCCUGUCCAUAUUUAUGUGUCUUCAGUUGGCACGAACUCUGGCUCUAACCUUAAUUUUAUUCCCAUACCAAAUGUAAAUUCUUCUCCCGAUUUUCAUAUUAGUCAACAAGGUAGCUCUUCAGCACUGCGUACUUCAUCGACUCCAGUUGUAUCUCCGUCAUCAAGCACACCUAGCAUAUCUAGGUUAAAUAUUGGAGUCUCUGGCACACCAACAUCAUCAUCCAUUGGUAGUGCUACACCAGCAGCUUCUCGGGGUCGAAGUGAUAGAGAGACUCCACAAUAUGAUGCACAUAAUAGGCUGAUUAUUGUUCCGAAUGAGCAUGAUGGGUUUUUUCCUCCAUUUACUGUCGCGCAUAUGGUUACAGAGUCUAUUAAGGUACUUACGAUGAUGCUUGGAGUAUAUGGAAAGAAAGUCCAUAUCAUAUCAGAGAUGCAAUAUGGAAUCAGUUUUGGGUACAUAUAAACUUUAUUUUUAAAUUAUAUAUCAAAUACCUAAUUUUACUCUACUUAAAUUAAUUAUUUUACAAACUAAGUAUGUGUGGGAACAAUGAUAUGACAAUAAAAUAAAAGAUGUCUUCGUGAAGAAAGCAAAAAAAAUGAUUUCAAGUUCAUUGUAUGAAGCUCGAGAAAAGAGGGAGAAGCCUGGUUAGAUAAGAGAAGAUGUGUGGAUAAGAGAAGAUGUGUGGAUAAACAGAAUUGAACUUUUUUUCAAAUUAUAUAUCCUAUUAAUUUUGCAAGAAAAUUUAAAAAGGGGACCAGUGUCUCAUGUUGAGCUCUUUGCGGAGACACAUAAGAAAAAGAAGAAAGACGGUUCAAGAGAAGGAUAGGUUGAGACACGUGCAUCGGAACAAUAUGAUGGAUAUCAAAGAAGCUUGGAUGAAUGGUGUCAGACGCAGCCUACUUCUGAUGAUGGUACCCCAAUCCAACCAUCACCUGAUGAUAUGACUUCAAUAUGGACAGAUGUAGCAGGUGGUGUAUCCAAAGGAAGAGUUUACGGGCUUGGAAUACAACGACCUUCCUCUUUUCAUCCAUCACCCUUAGUUUCGGAAGCUCCUACUGUGCAAAAUUAGGAAGAAAUGGAAGCAACGCAAAAACAAAUUGAGUUGUUGUCGAAACGAUGUGAAACAGCUGAAGCUCACAUUGCUAGAAUGGAUAAAUACGUUAAAAAAAUACAUGCCCCACUCUUAUGAUGAUGAAGAGACUAAAUCUGAUGUGUAGUAGUGAUUUAUGGUUGAUUACUAUUCUUGGAUGUUUAGAUUUUAUAUUUAGACUUCAUGGUAGAUUUGGAUUAUGUGGUAUAUAUAUGUUUAGAUUUUAUUAUAUUAGUGUCGAUGUGUAUUAGCUACUUAGACUUGAUAUUGAAUAUUUAAACUUUAACUAAUAUUUUGUUUUGAUAUUA